rnacentral:rRNA from 1 species
GAUGAACGCUGGCGGCGUGCUUAACACAUGCAAGUCGAACGGAAAGGCCCUGCUUUUGUGGGGUGCUCGAGUGGCGAACGGGUGAGUAACACGUGAGUAACCUGUCCUUGACUUUGGGAUAACUUCAGGAGACUGGGGCUAAUACCGGAUAGGAGCUCCUGCUGCAUGGUGGGGGUUGGAAAGUUUCGGCGGUUGGGGAUGGACUCGCGGCUUAUCAGCUUGUUGGUGGGGUAGUGGCUUAACAAGGCUUUGACGGGUAGCCGGCCUGAGAGGGUGACCGGCCACAUUGGGACUGAGAUACGGCCCAGACUCCUACGGGAGGCAGCAGUGGGGAAUAUUGCGCAAUGGGCGGAAGCCUGAUGCAGCAACGCCGCGUGCGGGAUGACGGCCUUCGGGUUGUAAACCGCUUUCGCCUGUGACGAAGCGUGAGUGACGGUAAUGGGUAAAGAAGCACCGGCUAACUACGUG